UACGGAGGGGGCUAGCGUUGUUCGGAAUUACUGGGCGUAAAGCGCACGUAGGCGGACUGGAAAGUUGGGGGUGAAAUCCCGGGGCUCAACCUCGGAACUGCCUUCAAAACUAUCAGUCUGGAGUUCGAGAGAGGUGAGUGGAAUACCGAGUGUAGAGGUGAAAUUCGUAGAUAUUCGGUGGAACACCAGUGGCGAAGGCGGCUCACUGGCUCGAUACUGACGCUGAGGUGCGAAAGCGUGGGGAGCAAAC
rnacentral:rRNA from 1 species